AGUGAACGCUGGCGGUAGGCCUAACACAUGCAAGUCGAACGGCAGCACAGUAAGAGCUUGCUCUUACGGGUGGCGAGUGGCGGACGGGUGAGGAAUACAUCGGAAUCUACUUUUUCGUGGGGGAUAACGUAGGGAAACUUACGCUAAUACCGCAUACGACCUACGGGUGAAAGCAGGGGAUCUUCGGACCUUGCGCGAUUGAAUGAGCCGAUGUCGGAUUAGCUAGUUGGCGGGGUAAAGGCCCACCAAGGCGACGAUCCGUAGCUGGUCUGAGAGGAUGAGCAGCCACACUGGAACUGAGACACGGUCCAGACUCCUACGGGAGGCAGCAGUGGGGAAUAUUGGACAAUGGGCGCAAGCCUGAUCCAGCCAUACCGCGUGGGUGAAGAAGGCCUUCGGGUUGUAAAGCCCUUUUGAUGGGAAAGAAAAGCAGCAGGUUAAUACCCCGCUGUUCUGACGGUACCCAAAGAAUAAGCACCGGCUAACUUCGUG
rnacentral:rRNA from 1 species